AUGCCCAUGGUCCAGGGAUGACAAUGGAAGCUACGGUCUAUGAAACUACUUCUGGGCCGGAGGAUAGUGACAAGGAAGAGGAUGAUGAUGUUGUAGAGGAGGUGGUGGGUACAAAGGAGCAAAACAAUGCUGUUGGACACAAAGACAAUGUCCGAGUUGUGGAGAAUGAGGAAUCUAGCUCCAACAAAGUUGUUGGGAGGCCUUCAGUAUUUCAAGUGAAAUGAAGGAGAUCGGAAGGUGGAGCUUUUAUCAAACAGUGAG
rnacentral:misc_RNA from 1 species